rnacentral:RNase_P_RNA from 1 species
GGUGGGCGCAUGAUCGCUCCGGCAGCAUAAUGCCGGAGAGGAAAGUCCGAACACCGCAGGGCACGGUGGUUCGUAACGCGAACUCCGGGUAACCGGGGGAAAGUGCCACAGAAAAUACACCGCCGAUGGUCUGCCCCGUGCAGACACAGGUAAGGUUGAAAUGGCGAGGUAAGAGCUCACCGCUUUCGUGGCGACACGGAAGGCAGGGUAAACCCCACCGGGUGCAAGACCAAAUAGGGAAACGUUUGAGGACGGCCCGUCCGAAGUUUCCGGGUAGGUUGCGCGAGGUGCCGGGUGACCGGCAUCCAAGAUAAAUGAUCAUGAUCCGCUGUAAGCGGCGACAAAAUUCGGCUUACAGCCCACCCC